rnacentral:rRNA from 1 species
UACGGAGGGGGCUAGCGUUGUUCGGAAUUACUGGGCGUAAAGCGCACGUAGGCGGCUUUGUAAGUUAGAGGUGAAAGCCCGGGGCUCAACUCCGGAAUUGCCUUUAAGACUGCAUCGCUUGAAUUGUGGAGAGGUAAGUGGAAUUCCGAGUGUAGAGGUGAAAUUCGUAGAUAUCGGGAGGAACACCAGUGGCGAAGGCGACUACCUGGCCUGUUCUUGACGCUGAGGCGCGAAAGCUAGGGGAGCAAACGGG